GACGUAGAUCAUGAAGCGCCGCGCCUGUUGCGCCCGGAUGUAGUCCGAGUCUGGUUCUGGUUCCUCCCCCGGCACGUACUCCCCGUCCCUCUUCACCUCCCGAUUGCCGAUGCAGAAGAAGGUGAGGUAAUCCCUGGGGCUUGCCUCGACGCCGUUGGCCCGCAGGGCCUGGGCAAUGUCGGUGUACAUCAUCUCCAUCGUCCUGCGCUGCCAGUCGAGGAUCGCCUGGACGGAUGCACUCUCCGGGAUGCCCUCCGGCCACAUGGGAACGACGACGUAGACCGUGAAUCGCUCCCCAGCCUCGAUCUUGCUCACGAUCUUCGUCGAGAGCUCCUUGGGCACCAGAUGGAGGGCGCCGAUCUCCUCGACAUUGAUGCCCUCCGCCUUCCAAGCAAAGGAGCUGCCGAGGAAGUACUGGUUCUCGAUGUAGAUGAAGUCCUUGGCCCGGCGGAUGGCGUUGAUGUACGCAUCCUGGAUGCU
rnacentral:lncRNA from 1 species